AUUGGACGCUCGCGGAAUUCUUUACACAUGCAAGUCGAACGGCAGCACGGACUUCGGUCUGGCGGCGAGUGCCGAACGGGUGAAUAAUAUAGCGGAACGUGCGCGGUCGGGGGGGAUAACGUAGUGAAAGUUACGCUAAUACCGCAAACGAACUAUGGAUGAAAGCGGGGGACCUUUGGGCCUCGCGCGAUUGGAGCGGCCGAUAUCAGAUUAGGUAGUUGGUGGGGUAAAGGCUCACCAAGCCAACGAUCUGUAGCUGGUCUGAGAGGACGACCAGCCACACUGGGACUGAGACACGGCCCAGACUCCUACGGGAGGCAGCAGUGGGGAAUUUUGGACAAUGGACGCAAGUCUGAUCCAGCCAGUCCGCGUGCAGGACGAAGGCCUUCGGGUUGUAAACUGCUUUUGUACAGAACGAAAAGGUUUCUACUAAUACUAGGAGCUCAUGACGGUACUGUAAGAAUAAGCACCGGCUAACUACGUGCCAGCCGCCGCCGUAA
rnacentral:rRNA from 1 species